UAAUAUUAACUGACUGUCUGUCUGUCUGCUCUCAACCAAACAGUCAUUCAAGACCUUUUAAAGUAAGGACUAACGCAAACUGACUGUCUGUCUCGUCUCAACCAAACAGUCAUUCAAGACCUUUUAAAGUUUAGCGCAAACGUUUCCUGUGCAAGUUUGAAUCUCUCUCAGUGAGGGGGGAGAUUGACUGACUAACUGUCUAAUCGCCACCAAACAGUCAUUUACCCAGAAACCUUUUAAAGUUUAGCGCACAAGUUUCCAGCACAAGUUUGGAUCUUUACCAUUGAGGAGACUGGCUGACUGUUCUCGACCAACCAUCAUUCACACGCAAAAACUUUAAAGAUAAGUAUGAACGUGCCCAGAGCAGUUUUCGAUCUUUACCAUUAAGGAGGCUGACUGACUAUCCUCUACCACCCGUCAUUAACACAACAAAAACUAAAGAAAUGUUACUCCAUAUGGACCUAUUCAUUUACUCAUUAUGCUGUGAGUACACCACAGUUCUAUCAGUGAAAAAAA